rnacentral:tRNA from 1 species
UAUAGUAUAGUUUAAAUUAAAACGUAAAUUUGUGGAAUUUAAGUUGCUAUCGCUACUAUAA